CAGCUCUCCGAGUAGUGUGGAUGUUUAUUGGGCCUAAAGCAUCCGUAGCUUGCUAAGCAAGUCCCCUGUUAAAUCCACCGAUUCAAUCGUUGGAUUGCGGGGGAUACUGUUUGGCUAGGGGACGGGAGAGGCCGACGGUAUUUCCGGGGUAGGGGUGAAAUCCUAUAAUCCCGGGAGGACCACCAGUGGCGAAGGCUGUCGGCUAGAACGCGCCCGACGGUGAGGGAUGAAAGCUGGGGGAGCGAACCGGAUUAGAUACCCGAGUAGUCC
rnacentral:rRNA from 1 species